GCAAGUCGAGCGGUAACAUUUCUAGCUUGCUAGAAGAUGACGAGCGGCGGACGGGUGAGUAAUGCUUGGGAAUAUGCCUUUAGGUGGGGGACAACAGUUGGAAACGACUGCUAAUACCGCAUAAUGUCUACGGACCAAAGGAGGGGAUUCUUCGGAACCUUUCGCCUUUAGAUUAGCCCAAGUGAGAUUAGCUAGUUGGUGAGGUAAUGGCUUACCAAGGCGACGAUCUCUAGCUGGUUUGAGAGGAUGAUC
rnacentral:rRNA from 1 species